rnacentral:lncRNA from 1 species
AUGUCGAUUACACACCGGAGGUUGGUAAGAACUGAGGGACAAUGCCCCCCUAACCUAAGUGGGCCUACCAGCGAAACAACUGGGGCGGCGGCGUUCUUGAAUGAAGUCUAUCCGAACCGAAUUAGCACUUCUCAGAUCAGGCUAGGCCUCUCCAGCUCCGCAGGGCGCCGGGGCCCUGGAUGCGCUAGCGAUCGGCACAUAGGGGGUGCCGGGUUUCUCGGCCUGGUAUCCUGCACCUCGCGUUCAUGA